UAGGGUUCUAGGUAUGUGCUGCCACGCAC
rnacentral:piRNA from 1 species